rnacentral:rRNA from 1 species
AGAAGAUGGUAAGGGCAAACGGUGGAUGCCUUGGCACAAGAAGCCGAUGAAGGACGUGAUAAGCUGCGAUAAGCCACGGUAAGGAGCACAUAUCCUGUGACCCGUGGAUUUCCGAAUGGGUAAACCCACCAAGAGUCAUUUCUUGGUACUUCCUGCUGAAUAUAUAGGCAGGAUAGAGGUAACCGGGGGAACUGAAACAUCUAAGUACCCCGAGGAAGAGAAAUCAAACGAGAUUCCCCUAGUAGUGGCGAGCGAACGGGGAUAUAGGACAAACCGUCAGUUGCGCAAGCGCUGGCGGGGUUGUAGGACCAUUCAUUGUGGAGUUACAAAACUUCGUGGAAGCAGAAUAGCUUGGAAAAGCUGGCGAGACAGGGUAAAAGCCCCGUACGCGAAUCUGCGAAGACUCCCGAGUGGCACCUGAGUACUGCCGGACACGUGAAACCCGGUGGGAACCUGGGGGGUCCACCCUCCAAUCCUAAAUACUCUCUUGUGACCGAUAGUGAACCAGUACCGUGAGGGAAAGGUGAAAAGCACCCCUAGCGGGGAGUGAAAUAGUACCUGAAACCGUUUGCCUACAAGCAGUCGGAGCAGACUUUUGUCUGUGACGGCGUGCCUUUUGUAGAAUGAGCCAGCGAGUUACGGCAUGUGGCAAGGUUAAGCUAAAAAGCGAGCCGCAGCGAAAGCGAGUCUGAAUAGGGCGAGUGAGUCGCAUACCGUAGACGCGAAGCCAGGUGAGCUAUCCAUGAGCAGGCUGAAGCGGGGGUAAGACCCCGUGGAGGGCCGAACCCACUUAGGUUGAAAACUGAGGGGAUGACUUGUGGAUAGGAGUGAAAGGCCAAUCAAACCUGGAGAUAUCUCGUUCUCUCCGAAAUAGCUUUAGGGCUAGCCUCGGAUGUUUACCAAUGGGGGUAGAGCACUGAAUAGUUGCGGGGGCUUCACCGCCUACCAAGAUUAAUCAAACUCCGAAUACCAUUGGUCUAGAAUCCGGGAGUCAGAAUAUGUGGGCUAAGCUGUGUAUUCGAAAGGGAAACAGCCCAGACCGCCCGCUAAGGUCCCAAAAUCAAUGCUAAGUGGCAAAGGAUGUGCGUUUGCUCAGACAACCAGGAUGUUGGCUUAGAAGCAGCCAUUCAUUUAAAGAGUGCGUAAUAGCUCACUGGUCGAGUGGACAUGCGCCGACAAUAUACGGGGCUAAGCAUUGUACCGAAGCGGCGGAUCAGUACUUUGUACUGGUGGUAGGAGAGCUUUCUGUACGGGUUGAAGCAGUUGGAUAACCAACUGUGGACUGUCCAGAAGUGAGAAUGCUGGCAUGAGUAACGAGAGACAUGUAAAAAACAUGUCCGCCGUAAACCCAAGGUUUCCUGGGCAAGGCUAAUCCUCCCAGGGUUAGGCGGGAGCUAAGGCAAGGCCGGAAGGCGUAGUCGAUGCACAACAGGUAGAAAUUCCUGUCCCUCCAAAAGAGCGUUAUCACCAAUGGGGUGACGGAGCAGGGUAGCUAGGCGGGGUUCUGGACGUCCCCGUGAUGGCACGUAGGCUGAGAAGUAGUGAAAUGCGCUUCUCAUGUGGCUGAGGUGUCGGACGAAGCAAUUGAGUGAAGCUAGUAAGCCCAUACUUCCAAGAAAAACCUCUAGGGAGCUCUGAGGAGCCCGUACCGCAAACCGACACAGGUGGGUGGGUAGAGCAUACCAAGGCGAUCGGGAGAACUAUGGUUAAGGAACUCGGCAAAAUUGCCCCGUAACUUCGGGAGAAGGGGUGCCGGUUUCGGUGAAGGGAUUUACUCCCCGAGCUAAGAUCGGUCACAGUAAAUAGGUCCAAGCGACUGUUUAUCAAAAACACAGGACUCUGCUGAAGUCGUAAGACGACGUAUAGGGUCUGACGCCUGCCCGGUGCCGGAAGGUCACGAGGAGUUGUUAGCAUUAGCGAAGCAGCGAAUCUAAGCCCCGGUAAACGGCGGCCGUAACUAUAACGGUCCUAAGGUAGCGAAAUUCCUUGUCGGGU